CAUGGUGCACAAGCUAUCGACCU
rnacentral:piRNA from 1 species